rnacentral:rRNA from 1 species
UACAGAGGGUGCGAGCGUUGUUCGGAAUUAUUGGGCGUAAAGCGCGUGUAGGCGGUGAUGCAUGUCGGGUGUGAAAGCCCUCAGCUCAACUGAGGAAGUGCGCCCGAAACUGCAUCGCUGGAGUGCCGGAGAGGAAGGCGGAAUUCCCGGUGUAGAGGUGAAAUUCGUAGAUAUCGGGAGGAACACCAGUGGCGAAGGCGGCCUCUAGACGGACACUGACGCUGAGACGCGAAAGCGUGGGGAGCGAACAGG